rnacentral:rRNA from 1 species
AAAUUGAAGAGUUUGAUCAUGGCUCAGAUUGAACGCUGGCGGCAGGCCUAACACAUGCAAGUCGAACGGUAACAGGAAGCAGCUUGCUGCUUUGCUGACGAGUGGCGGACGGGUGAGUAAUGUCUGGGAAACUGCCUGAUGGAGGGGGAUAACUACUGGAAACGGUGGCUAAUACCGCAUAACGUCGCAAGACCAAAGAGGGGGACCUUCGGGCCUCUUGCCAUCAGAUGUGCCCAGAUGGGAUUAGCUUGUUGGUGAGGUAACGGCUCACCAAGGCGACGAUCCCUAGCUGGUCUGAGAGGAUGACCAGCCACACUGGAACUGAGACACGGUCCAGACUCCUACGGGAGGCAGCAGUGGGGAAUAUUGCACAAUGGGCGCAAGCCUGAUGCAGCCAUGCCGCGUGUAUGAAGAAGGCCUUCGGGUUGUAAAGUACUUUCAGCGGGGAGGAAGGUGUUGUGGUUAAUAACCGCAGCAAUUGACGUUACCCGCAGAAGAAGCACCGGCUAACUCCGUGCCAGCAGCCGCGGUAAUACGGAGGGUGCAAGCGUUAAUCGGAAUUACUGGGCGUAAAGCGCACGCAGGCGGUCUGUCAAGUCGGAUGUGAAAUCCCCGGGCUCAACCUGGGAACUGCAUUCGAAACUGGCAGGCUUGAGUCUUGUAGAGGGGGGUAGAAUUCCAGGUGUAGCGGUGAAAUGCGUAGAGAUCUGGAGGAAUACCGGUGGCGAAGGCGGCCCCCUGGACAAAGACUGACGCUCAGGUGCGAAAGCGUGGGGAGCAAACAGGAUUAGAUACCCUGGUAGUCCACGCCGUAAACGAUGUCUACUUGGAGGUUGUGCCCUUGAGGCGUGGCUUCCGGAGCUAACGCGUUAAGUAGACCGCCUGGGGAGUACGGCCGCAAGGUUAAAACUCAAAUGAAUUGACGGGGGCCCGCACAAGCGGUGGAGCAUGUGGUUUAAUUCGAUGCAACGCGAAGAACCUUACCUGGUCUUGACAUCCACAGAAGAAUCCAGAGAUGGAUUUGUGCCUUCGGGAACUGUGAGACAGGUGCUGCAUGGCUGUCGUCAGCUCGUGUUGUGAAAUGUUGGGUUAAGUCCCGCAACGAGCGCAACCCUUAUCCUUUGUUGCCAGCGGUUAGGCCGGGAACUCAAAGGAGACUGCCAGUGAUAAACUGGAGGAAGGUGGGGAUGACGUCAAGUCAUCAUGGC